rnacentral:rRNA from 1 species
UACGGAGGGUGCAAGCGUUAUCCGGAUUUACUGGGUUUAAAGGGUGUGUAGGCGGGCUUUUAGGUCAGUGGUGAAAUCUCCGGGCUCAACCCGGAAACUGCCAUUGAUACUAUUAGUCUUGAAUUCUGUUGAGGUAGGCGGAAUAAGUCAUGUAGCGGUGAAAUGCUUAGAUAUGACUUAGAACACCAAUUGCGAAGGCAGCUUGCUAAACAGAUAUUGACGCUGAGGCACGAAAGCGUGGGGAUCAAACAGG